rnacentral:snRNA from 1 species
GUACAUACUUCGACAGCACACCUAUUAAAAUUGGAGCGAUACAGAGAAGAUUAACAUGGAACCUGUGGAAGGAUGACAUGCAAAUUUGUGAAACGUUCCAAAUUAAA